AUUGAACGCUGGCGGCAGGCCUAACACAUGCAAGUCGAGCGGUAACAUUUCUAGCUUGCUAGAAGAUGACGAGCGGCGGACGGGUGAGUAACGCGUAGAAAUCUACCCAUGAGUGGGGGACAACCCGGGGAAACUCGGGCUAAUACCGCAUACGCCCUACGGGGUAAAGCAGGGGACCUUCGGGCCUUGCGCUGAUGGAUGAGCUCGCGUCGGAUUAGCUUGUUGGUGAGGUAAAGGCUCACCAAGGCGACGAUCCGUAGCUGGUCUGAGAGGAUGAUCAGCCACACCGGGACUGAGACACGGCCCGGACUCCUACGGGAGGCAGCAGUGGGGAAUCUUGGACAAUGGGGGCAACCCUGAUCCAGCCAUGCCGCGUGUGUGAAGAAGGCCUUCGGGUUGUAAAGCACUUUCAGCAGGGAGGAAGGCUUACCCCUAAUACGGGUGAGUACUUGACGUUACCUGCAGAAGAAGCACCGGCUAAUUUCGUG
rnacentral:rRNA from 1 species